CGGAUUCUGGCUCAGGAUGAACGCUAGCUACAGGCUUAACACAUGCAAGUCGAGGGGCAGCAUUGGGAUAGCUUGCUAUUCAGAUGGUGACCGGCGCACGGGUGAGUAACGCGUAUCCAACCUUCCUGCCAGUAGGGAACAGCCCGGCGAAAGUCGGAUUAAUGCCCUAUGUUCUUCAAUGCGGACAUCUAAGUUGAAGGAAAGAUUCAUCGCUGGCAGAUGGGGAUGCGUCCGAUUAGCUUGCCGGCGGGGUAACGGCCCACCGGGGCGACGAUCGGUAGGGGUUCUGAGAGGAAGGUCCCCCACACUGGUACUGAGACACGGACCAGACUCCUACGGGAGGCAGCAGUGAGGAAUAUUGGUCAAUGGGCGUAAGCCUGAACCAGCCAAGUAGCGUGCAGGAAUGACGGCCCUACGGGUUGUAAACUGCUUUUAUGCGGGGAUAAAGUGCGGCACGUGUGCCGCUUUGCAGGUACCGCAUGAAUAAGGACCGGCUAAUUCCGUGCCAGCCGCAGC
rnacentral:rRNA from 1 species